GAUGAACGCUGGCGGCGUGCCUAAUACAUGCAAGUCGAGCGAACGGACGAGAAGCUUGCUUCUCUGAUGUUAGCGGCGGACGGGUGAGUAACACGUGGAUAACCUACCUAUAAGACUGGGAUAACUUCGGGAAACCGGAGCUAAUACCGGAUAAUAUUUUGAACCGCAUGGUUCAAAAGUGAAAGACGGUCUUGCUGUCACUUAUAGAUGGAUCCGCGCUGCAUUAGCUAGUUGGUAAGGUAACGGCUUACCAAGGCAACGAUGCAUAACCUACCUGAGAGGGUGAUCGGCCACACUGGAACUGAGACACGGUCCAGACUCCUACGGGAGGCAGCAGUAGGGAAUCUUCCGCAAUGGGCGAAAGCCUGACGGAGCAACGCCGCGUGAGUGAUGAAGGUCUUCGGAUCGUAAAACUCUGUUAUUAGGGAAGAACAUAUGUGUAAGUAACUGUGCACAUCUUGACGGUACCUAAUCAGAAAGCCACGGCUAACUACGUG
rnacentral:rRNA from 1 species